rnacentral:lncRNA from 1 species
UGCAAACAAAAAAUCAACCAAAUGAGAAUACAAUUUACAAAGAUGGACGUUUGUUUCAAAACAAUUUCAAUCAUUAAUGUUUUCCUUCUGAUCUCGCUCAUGGUUGUCACAACCCAGAUGACUUAUGCCACUUCUUUUUAUGCAAAAAAAUCUUUUUCAGUUGAAACUACAGUUGAAAAGGAAAUUAACAAUGAACUAGUCUUUAACAGUUGCAAAAGAGUUAGUUAUAAAAAUACUUGUUACAACACCUACAAAUCAUCUAAGAUGACGGCGAAUGCCACUGAUAUGAAUAAGGUUAUUUACAUUUCAAUUGGAUGUCUCCUCGAUCAUGCACAACUUGUUAAAAAGUCACAAAAGAUUUCUAUUAUUUUUAAAUCGUCAAAAGCAGUCAUGUACGAAAGAGCAUACGAUGCAAUCAUCUGGAAGCUCCAAGUAAUCAAGAAGAUGAAGGAUUUCAAACGUAGAAUGUUGGUAGAAAUUCUCAAUCAUGUUAUCGCAAAGAUCAAAUUUUGCAAAAGAAUUUCGCUCUCUGUCAAAUUUGAAAAGAAAGUUAUGAUUAAUGGAGAGCAUGCCUUCGAGUCUGAAAAUGAUGAAAUGAUGCAAAUGGCCACAAACACCGUCGAGAUGUGUCAAUCACUGCCUGAAUAAUAAAUUCAACUUCAAAAAUUGUAUCUAAUUGUCUACUUAACUUUCUUUGAUGUAUGUGCAAAAAAAAUGUUCUGGUUGGAUAUUUGGUUAGAAAUCAAACAUUAUCGCAUUCUUCAGUCAAUCAAAUGAAGUCAUUUUUUUUUAUAUUUCAAUCUAUUCCAGGAAUAUUACAUUUUUAAUCUUUUACAUUUCUUAUUGAAGUAUAACAGGAUGAAAUUAGUUUAUUUUAUCUCUUAUCUUUUUUAAGUUAAGUUUUUAUCUAUAAGUUAAGUUAUAUCGGCCCAUACUCAAGGCCCAUUAAUUAGCAUAGGUAUAUAUAUCAAAACUCUGUAAUAGUUUAGUUAACUUUCUUUAAUAUACAAAAUCCUAAACCCUUCUAGCUAGGGUUUUCCCAAGCGUCAACUCUCUCCACUCACUCCCAAACUUCCGAUCAGUGACUCCGUCCGUACACGCCUCGCUCCGUUCACACUUCUCUUCAUGGUAUCAAAGCACCGUGAAGCGAUGUACUGACAAUCGUUGCUGCUACUCCGGAAAGCCCCAAAUCGAAGAUCGACAUCUCCUGGCUGACUCCGUCAGACUGCUCUCCUCAAACCACGCUUGGUAAAACCUAAAAUUAAACUUCUAAAGCGAUGCACGAUUUCUCCUCAAAAAAUCUUUUUCAGUUGAAACUACAUUUGAAAAGGAAAUUUACAAUGAACUAGUCUUUAACAGUUGCAAAAAAGUUAGUUAUAAAAAUACUUGUUACAACACCUACAAAUCAUCUAAGAUGACGGCGAAUGCCACUGAUAUGAAUAAGGUUGUUUACAUUUCAAUUGGAUGUCUCCUCGAUCAUGCACAACUUGUUAAAAAGUCACAAAAGAUUUCUAUUAUUUUUAAAUCGUCAAAAGCAGUCAUGUACGAAAGAGCAUACGAUGCAAUCAUCUGGAAGCUCCAAGUAAUCAAGAAGAUGAAGGAUUUCAAACGUAGAAUGUUGGUAGAAAUUCUCAAUCAUGUUAUCGCAAAGAUCAAAUUUUGCAAAAGAAUUUCGCUCUCUGUCAAAUUUGAAAAGAAAGUUAUGAUUAAUGGAGAGCAUGCCUUCGAGUCUGAAAAUGAUGAAAUGAUGCAAAUGGCCACAAACACCGUCGAGAUGUGUCAAUCACUGCCUGAAUAAUAAAUUCAACUUCAAAAAUUGUAUCUAAUUGUCUACUUAACUUUCUUUGAUGUAUGUGCAAAAAAAAUGUUCUGGUUGGAUAUUUGGUUAGAAAUCAAACAUUAUCGCAUUCUUCAGUCAAUCAAAUGAAGUCAUUUUUUUUAUAUUUCAAUCUAUUCCAGGAAUAUUACAUUUUUAAUCUUUUACAUUUCUUAUUAAAGUAUAACAGGAUGAAAUUAGUUUAUUUUAUCUCUUAUCUUUUUUAAGUUAAGUUUUUAUCUAUAAGUUAAGUUAUAUCGGCCCAUACUCAAGGCCCAUUAAUUAGCA